rnacentral:rRNA from 1 species
CCCUUAGAUGUCCUGGGCCGCACGCGCGUUACACUGAUGCAUUCAACGAGCUUAUAACCUUGGCCGAGAGGCCUGGGCAGUCUUGUUAACGUGCAUCGUGAUAGGGAUAGAUUAUUGAAAUUAUUAAUCUUGAACGAGGAAUUCCUAGUAAACGCAGAUCAUCAAUCUGCAUUGAUUACGUCCCUGCCCUUUGUACACACCGCCCGUCGCACCUACCGAUUGGAUGGUCCGGUGAAGCCUCGGGAUUGUGGUUCUUGCCGCUUUAUUGUAGCGUGACCGCGAGAACUUGUCUAAACCUUAUCAUCUAGAGGAAGGUGAAGUCGUAACA